UACAGAGGCCCCGAGCGUUAAUCGGAAUCACUGGGCUUAAAGGGCGCGUAGGCGGCAAUUCAAGUCAGUUGUGAAAUCUCCGAGCUUAACUCGGAACGGUCAACUGAUACUGUUUUGCUAGAGUACAGAAGGGGCAAUCGGAAUUCUUGGUGUAGCGGUGAAAUGCGUAGAUAUCAAGAGGAACACCUGAGGUGAAGACGGGUUGCUGGGCUGAUACUGACGCUGAGGCGCGAAAGCUAGGGUAGCAAACGGG
rnacentral:rRNA from 1 species